rnacentral:rRNA from 1 species
UACGAAGGGGGCUAGCGUUGUUCGGAUUUACUGGGCGUAAAGCGCACGUAGGCGGAUUGGUCAGUUAGGGGUGAAAUCCUGGAGCUCAACUCCAGAACUGCCUUUAAUACUGCCAGUCUCGAGUCCGGAAGAGGUAAGUGGAACUCCUAGUGUAGAGGCGGAAUUCGUAGAUAUUAGGAAGAACACCAGUGGCGAAGGCGGCUUACUGGUCCGGUACUGACGCUGAGGUGCGAAAGCGUGGGGAGCGAACAGG